rnacentral:rRNA from 1 species
GCAAGUCGAACGCGAAAGAUUUUCUUCGGAGGAUCGAGUAGAGUGGCGCACGGGUGAGUAACGCGUAAGUUAUCUACCCUCCCAUCUGGAAUAACUCACCGAAAGGUGUGCUAAUACCGGAUACGUUGGAAACAAGAAAGGUGGCCUCUAUUUAUAAGCUACCGUGGGGGGAUGAGCUUGCGUACCAUUAGCUAGUUGGUAGGGUAAUGGCCUACCAAGGCAACGAUGGUUAGCGGGUCUGAGAGGAUGAUC